UUAUCUACUCAACGGAGAGGUUAUAUCCUCUGAAUCCUUUUUUACCUUAUAGAUUGGCUGUUUUAGUCUCUUCUUGGUGUCGGUACGGCAGUGGCGUUAAUGACGAAUCCGUGAGCAGAACAGGUUUAGCAUCCUUGUUGUGAAGAAGUUGGUUGGUGUCACCUCUCCAUUUCCAGUUGUGAAGGAGUCCUUGCUACAGCUUUUAAUAAGAGUUCGUCCCCUUCCUGGUUUGUUCGCUGAUCUCUGGUUUCCUCGGUGGCUUCUUCUUGGAUGAUUGAAGCAGUAAAAAGAGGUUGAGGUUUUGGUUCAAUCAGAUGAAGUUGCGGUUUUGUAGGGGGGUUGGUCCCGGGUGUUUUGGUUCUUAGACCCAUGGUUUGGGGUCGGUGUGUGUGUGGUGCUAUUCGGCGUGGUUCUGGCUUUUUAUCGUGGACAGGAGGUUCAGGUGAUUUCGGUUCUGUUAAGUCAUUUUUGCCACUUAUCAGCUUGGUUGACUGUGGUCUUGUGAAAGACUUCCAGUUAUUUUUGGCCUUGACUUUGCUAUCUAUGGGUUUGUUAAAGGAUUGUAGGAAGGUUUAGUUGUAAGAAUUUGUGUUUGUAUAAGUUAUAUUGUAGUCUGGUCUUUGGUGCCCUCGUAUGGGUUUUAGUGUCCUUUCUAUGGACUUUUGUUUCCGGGGAUAUCAACGUGUUCCGCCGGCUUUUGUAUUCCAUCCAGUGUUUAAUAUAAUCAAUUGACGGAAAAAAAAAA
rnacentral:lncRNA from 1 species